rnacentral:rRNA from 1 species
CAGUCGCCGCGGUAAUACGGAGGGUGCAAGCGUUAAUCGGAAUUACUGGGCGUAAAGCGCACGCAGGCGGUCUGACAAGUCAGAUGUGAAAUCCCCGGGCUUAACCUGGGAACUGCAUUUGAAACUGUCAGGCUGGAGUCUUGUAGAGGGGGGUGGAAUUCCAGGUGUAGCGGUGAAAUGCGUAGAGAUCUGGAGGAAUACCGGUGGCGAAGGCGGCCCCCUGGACAAAGACUGACGCUCAGGUGCGAAAGCGUGGGGAGCAAACAGGAUUAGAUACCCAGGUAGUCCCUGUCUCUUAUAC